AGUCUUGAGGUGUUACCACGUAGGAUUGCAAAUCCUAAGAAGUAGGAGAGAUCCUACCGGGACUU
rnacentral:tRNA from 1 species